GCACUCGUGGCGGAAUGGCAGACGCGCUACCUUGAGGUGGUAGUAUCUAACGAUGUGUGAGUUCAAAUCUCGUCGAGUGCACCA
rnacentral:tRNA from 1 species